CAGACUCCUACGGGAGGCAGUAGUGAGGAAUAUUGGUCAAUGGAGGCAACUCUGAACCAUCCAAGCCGUGUGAAGGAAGACUGUACUAUGAAUUGUAAACUUCUUUAGUGGUAGAGUAAAUAUAGCUACGUGUAGUCAUUUGCAAGUAUACCAUGAAUAAGCAUCGGCUAACUCCGUGCCAUCAGCCGCGGUAAUACGGAGGAUGCAGGCUUUAUCCGGACUUAUAGGUUUUAAAGGGUGUCUAGGCUGCCACAUAAGUCAGGGGUUGAAACUCGGUUGCUCAACAAUCGAAUUGCCUUUGAAACUGUGUGGCUCGAGUAUAGAUGAGGUAGGCGGAAUGUGUAGUGUAGCGGUGAAAUGCAUAGAUAUUACACAGAACCCCAAUUGCGAAGGCAGCUUACCAAACUAUUACUGACGCUGAAGCACGAAAGCGUGGGUAGCGAACAGGAUUAGAUACCCUGGUAGUCCACGCCGUGAACUAUGCUCACUCGCUGUUGGCAAUAGAUCGUCAGCGGCUAAGGGAAACCGAUAAGUGAGCCACCUGGGGAGUACGAUCGCAAGAUUGAAACUCAAAGGAAUUGACGGGGGCCCGCACAAGCGGAGGAACAUGUGGUUUAAUUCGAUGAUACGCGAGGAACCUUACAUGGGCUUAAAUGUAGAGUGCAUAAAGUGGACACAUGUUUUUCGUUCGGGACUCUUUACAAGGUGCUGCAUGGUUGUCGUCAGCUCGUGCCGUGAGGUGUCGGGUUAAGUCCCAUAACGAGCGCAACCCCUAUCGUUAGUUACCAGCACGUAGUGGUGGGGACUCUAGCGACACUGCCGGUGUAAACCGUGAGGAAGGUGGGGAUGACGUCACAUCAGCACGGCCCUUAUGUACAGGGCUACACACGUGUUACAAUGGUCGGUACAGUGGGCAGCCACAUAGCAAUAUGGAGCUAAUCUCAAAAGCCGAUCUCAGUUCGGAUUGGAGUCUGCAACCCGACUCCAUGAAGGUGGAUUCGCUAGUAAUCGCGCAUCAGCCAUGGCGCGGUGAAUACGUUCCCGGGC
rnacentral:rRNA from 1 species